UUCCUACGGGGGGCAGCAGUGAGGAGUAUUGGUCAAUGGGCGCGAGCCUGAACCAGCCAAGUCGCGUGAGGGAUGACGGCCCUACGGGUUGUAAACCUCUUUUGUCGGGGAGCAAAUUCCGUUACGUGUAACGGAGUCGAGAGUACCCGAAGAAAAAGCAUCGGCUAACUCCGUGCCAGCAGCCGCGGUAAUACGGAGGAUGCGAGCGUUAUCCGGAUUUAUUGGGUUUAAAGGGAGCGUAGGUGGAUUGUUAAGUCAGUUGUGAAAGUUUGCGGCUCAACCGUAAAAUUGCAGUUGAAACUGGG
rnacentral:rRNA from 1 species